rnacentral:rRNA from 1 species
CACCGCGGUUAUACGAGGGGCCCAAGUUGAUAAAUGCCGGCGUAAAAUGUGGUUAAUAUAGUAUUGCACUAAAGCCAAACAUCUUCAAAGGUGUUAUACCCAUAUGAAGACAGGAAGCACUUCCACGAAAGUGGCUUUAAAUAAUGUUAUCCACUAAAGCUAGGAGA